rnacentral:rRNA from 1 species
GACGAACGCUGGCGGCGUGCUUAACACAUGCAAGUCGAACGGAAAGAGAUGAAAGAGCUUGCUCUUUUAUUAAUUUCAGUGGCAAACGGGUGAGUAACACGUAACACUUCUUAAGGAUGGGGAUAACAGACGGAAACGACUGCUAAUACCGAAUACGUUCUAAGCAUCGCAUGGUGCAUAGAAGAAAGGGUGGCCUCUACAAGAAAGCUAUCGCCUUAAGAGGGGUUUGCGACUGAUUAGGUAGUUGGUGAGGUAACGGCUCACCAAGCCGACGAUCAGUAGCCGGUCUGAGAGGAUGAACGGCCACACUGGAACUGAGACACGGUCCAGACUCCUACGGGAGGCAGCAGUGGGGAAUCUUCCGCAAUGGACGAAAGUCUGACGGAGCAACGCCGCGUGA